rnacentral:rRNA from 1 species
UACAGAGGGUGCGAGCGUUAAUCGGAAUUACUGGGUGUAAAGCGCGCGUAGGCGGCUUUGCAAGUCGGGUGUGAAAUCCCCAGGCUUAACCUGGGAACUGCAUUCGAGACUGCAUUGCUAGAGUAUGGGAGAGGGAAGUGGAAUUUCCGGUGUAGCGGUGAAAUGCGUAGAUAUCGGAAGGAACAUCAGUGGCGAAAGCGACUUCCUGGACCAAUACUGACGCUCAUGUGCGAAAGCGUGGGGAGCAAACAGG